rnacentral:rRNA from 1 species
UCGACCUUAGUUGCCAGCAUUCAUUGGGCACUCUAAGGUGACUGCCGGCUAAAAGGUCGGAGGAAGGUGGGGAUGACGUCAAACCAUCAUGCCCCUUAUGACCUGGGCUACACACGUGCUACAAUGGGCGGUACAAAGGGUCGCGAACCCGCGAGGGGGAGGCCAAUCCCAAAAAGCCGCUCUCAGUUCGGAUUGCAGGCUGCAACUCGCCUGCAUGAAGCCGGAAUCGCUAGUAAUCGCGGAUCAGCAUGCCGCGGUCGAAUACGUUCCGGGCCUU